AGCCUCUGGAUGUUUUACUUGUGCUGCUUUGCGUGUUGUACAUAAUAGGACCGAGGCCAGCUUCAGGCCCCUCGCCUCACCCCGCUGAGUGCCGAGCUGAUAUCAGCUCUCCGGAGCUGGCCCAGCUGGGCCCAGGAUGCUCCCCUCCUGCUCCUCCCAGAAGCGUGUCUUUCUGUCUCCUUGCCCUGGUGGGAGACGGGAAGCUCUCCCCCUGUUGAAGGGGCUUCGCUCCUGUGUCAGCUUCGGCAAAUGCAAUGCUAUGGAGCAAGACAUAAGCACGUGUUGGAAGGGUGACGUCACACUUGCGACUGCUGUCUGGGGCUUUUUCAGUCACCAACGGGAAAUCACGACAUUGGUCAGAGGAGGACAAGACACUGAUGCAGCAAACGCAUGAGGACUCAUCGCUUGUUACGAUUCCAAGCAAGUACAGCGUGGAUCAGCUCAAUCUCAGUCGAUGCACGCAUGUGAGAGUGAGGAAUCAGUUCGCUGUGAUCUGCUGCGAGGUUUUGGUUGUUUGUUAUACCGCGAAAACUCACAGAUACAUAAUACUGUGCAAGUUAAGUUAAGUUGGAACACUUUUUAAGAAAUGAAAGAUCACAAUGAGAAAAUAGCACAGUGAAAAAUGCUAUUUCAGGGAGCAGAGUUGCUUACAAAGACGGACACUCAAAGUCACACAUUCAACACACAUGCACUGAAACGAAGUUUCGUGUUGCUCUGUGAAGCUGAGGUUUUCAGCUGUUCUGUUCCUGCUCGCCAUUUCCACAGGCCAGUGAUGCAGUCUGUUUCACAGUUGCUUCAAAGCUUGAAACUUAGGAAAUUAAUCCUUCUUCCUGAAAAACCUUCUUAAAGAUUAAAUAUCAGUCGAGAUUUCUCCAGCGGAAUGCCUCUUCUGCAAUGGCUCAAAAUGCUGGUCUGCGUCUUACACUGGGCAGGAGACUGGAGUCUACCGCAGAGGUCUACAGUUCAAAUCUAGUGGAAAUCACGUCAUCUCCAGUCACAAAUCACAUCUGCAGCAGCCAUUUCUCUGGGCUUCUCAGUUAUGUAUUUUUAAUGUCAAGGUGCCAGAUGCUGUCUAGUGGACCUCAAGUGUCCUUCAGAGGACCACGUGCAUGUGAAGAGCUUGGCCCCCGGCCCGACCCCACUUGGCGGACGUCAGUAUCAACUGUCCGUUGCUUAAACCUGGCUAAUGGAAUGGAAAGCUUACAAUUAUGCUAAUUUGCUAAUAUUUCAGCUUCCAGUUAACGGUACAAACAGCAACAAGCUAGGCAUGAUAACCAACUCCAGAUGUCUCGGUACUCUACUCAGGUCUGUGUUCUAUAAAACACAUUGCCUGAGAGUUCCUCAUUUUCCUUGAAGUCCGCCAAUAGUGAGUGAAAUUACCAUCAGUCAGUGUUCACUUUCCCCAGGACCAGGCCUGCUAGGCACUCUUUUCCUUUUCAGCAGCUUCUGUUUCAAAUAGUUGUAUUAUUGUUUCUGCCGUGUUUGCUAGUCAUGCUUUUCAUCCUCCAUUCGAUCAAUCCAAAAGUGAACUGAGUCUUUUGCAUUGGGGUUCAUCCUGGGGUUUUUAAAAAUGAGAUUUGUAUCUGAUACUAAAUUUGUUGAAAGAAAUUAGGGGUCUUUGCAUGUCUUAAUAGGUGUAAUUUUUUCUUUAUAUUCUACUUGAUAAGCUGCUUUUACCUUGACUAAUUAACCUUAUAUGUGCAAAAUUUCACCUCAAAAACAAUUACUGGAAUUCAUCUAUGGUCUCUUUUGUUUCUUUCUCAUUGAAAAAGAAAAAAAUAUUUAGCUGGUUUGCCAAAUUAAACAUUGAUCUGAGACAUAAGACUUUGAUCUAGAUAAGCCUACACACAUCUACAUUUCUGGAGGAUCCUUUUCAGUUUUUGAAAUUUUGCGUAAUCUCUGAUUAAAUAUAUUGUGUCCCCUGGUACUUCUCCAAUAUCCUAGCACUUUACAAUUCCCUCAAGAUUGUGGCUUGCCAGAUUAGUAUAAUGAUUAGCUUUUCUGUUCCAAUGAAACCAUGUAAGAUAUCUUUUUAUACCUUCUUCUGUCAAUUUCUGUUUUAGAUUCUUAAAAUACUUUACCAGGACAAAAACACUAACUAGACCAGGUUGGUUAGUUCCUACUGUAAACACAUGGUACUGGAUUCUCUGAGUCUUCACCUUCACUUACCCUUUAGGGGUAACAGAAAACAGUAAAAAUGUGAAAUCUACAGACUUUGAUCUUUAACAUUCAAUUUUCUCUUCAGAAAAGACUUUCAUAGAAUUAGAGUUUUGUACCUGUUUGGCAUUUGUUUUAUAAGAUUACCAUAUGAUCCUGAAAAUAAAUUUCCACUAUGUCCACUAUCUAGAAAAGUUAAAAUCACAGAAGUUAAAUACCAGUCACAAGGUCAUAAGGAGAGUAAAAGUAAAUGCAGAUCUAUCAACAGUGAACCCUUUCAAAGGGAAGUUAAGAAAGCAAUCCCAUUUACAAUGAUAUAAAAAUACUUAGCAAAUACUUCAUCAAGGAAAUAGAAGACGUGUAUACUGGAAACCAUAAAAUUGUAAUGAAAGAAACUAUAGAUGUAUAAAAUAGAAGAUAUUUCAUGCUUACGUACAAGAAAUUUUUGUUUUUAAAUGUCUAAACCCACCUAAAGAUUCCAUGCAACCUCUAUCAAAAUCCCAGAGCUCUUUGUCCCCGAAAGAGAAAUCCCAGAUUUAAUAUGAAACCACAGUAGAAUCAGAAGAUCCAAAGUAAAAUUGAACAAGAGCAGUAAACCUAGAGGUACCACACUUCCUAAUUUCAGACUAUAGCACAACGUUGUAACAGUCACAAUAAUACCAUCUUAGUAUAGAAACAAAAAUAGAAUGAUGGAAUAAUAUGUAAAGCCCAGAAAUGAAUCUGCAGAUACGGCUCAACUGACUUUCUCCAGUGAUGAGGAGAACACACCAAAAAUGAAGGAGAGUCUCUUCAUGACACACCAUAGCAGUUGAAAAGAUAUUCACAUGUUAAAAGAAAAAUAGAUCCUAACCAGAUAAUAAACAAAAACAACUCAAAUCAAUUAAAUUCUUAGACAUUAAGACCGGAAAUUCCUAUAUUAAAAAAAAAGAGAGAAAAGCUUCUUAAUAUUCUUCACAUUGUCAUGGGUUCUUGGAUACCAAAGCCACAAGCUACAAAGAGAAAACAAAUUGAGGAGCCUCAGCACAACAAAGGAAAUAUCAGAAUGAAAGGCAGUCAACAAAAAGUGAUACAAUAUUUGCAAACCAGUUAUCUGAUAAGUUGAUUAAAAAUAUAAGGAACUCCUGUAACUAAAUAGCAAAAAUAUAGAUAACCCAGUUGAAAAAUUGGCAAAGAACUUGCACAGACAUUUCUACAAAGACAUAAAAAUGAUCAAUGAGUAUAUGAAAAGAUGAUCAACGUUAUUAAUUGUCAGAGAAAUGUAAAUCAAAACCAACAUAAGAUAAUGUGUGUUCCUUAGGCUGAUCAGUGCUAAAUAAAUUAAAGAUAUGUUGAUAAGAUUUUUAAAGAAAGUGGAACUGUUGAGUGGAAUGCAAAAUGGUGCAGCAGCUACGGAAAAUGGUAUGGUUAUAGCUCAAAGGAGUAAAAUAGAGCUAUCAUAUCGUGUUAUCCCUUCCUCAUUACUGGGGCAAAAUAUGCAACACCUGCAACUAAAGGAGGAGAGGUUUUUGUGGCUCAUGGUUUCAAUGUGUUCAGUCCAUGGCUGGCUGGAUCCAAAAACAACUUGGCGAAGGGGCACAGUGCAGGACAGCUGCUCACCCCAUAGGAGCACAGAAGCAAAGAGGGAAGGGGCAAGCUGGGAGUAAGAAUACCCACUUCUAGGUCAUGCCUUCUACGGCCCACCUCCAGCCAGGCCUUCCUUUCUAACAGCAUGUUCAGUUAAGAAUUCCUGAAUGGAUUAGUCCAUUGUCAUCUUCCCAAAGCCCACCUCUAAACACAUGAGAUGCUGGCGGGGGGGCAUUUUAGAUCUAAGCCAUAGAACUUGUGAUUCAGCAAUCCCACUUUUUAGAAUAUAUUCAGGAGACUUAGAGUCAGUAACUCAGGAUAAUCUCAUACCCGUGUUCAUUGUAGAACUGAGUGUGGAAAGCAUUAUAUGGAAAUAACCUGCGUGUGCAUAAGUAGAUGAAUGGAGAAGAGAGGAUGUGGUCCAUAGAAACACUGGGAUGAUACUCAGCCUUAACAAGGCAGAAAGGCUACUUGCGAGUGUGGAUCAAACUAAACACUAUUAUGCUAAACGAAAUAAGCCAGUAACAGAAUGACAAGUACCUUAUGAAUUCACUUUUAUGAAGUAUGUAAAACACUAGUGAAAUUCGUGCAAGCAGAGGAUGCUGGAAUGGUUGCCAUGGGCUGGAGAUAUUAUGUUAAGCAUUAUAAUUGCACAGGAAAAAAUGAGAAAAAUGGAUAAAAAUCUGGAAGAAUUCAGGGAACCUGUGGGAAGGGUGAGCUCUGUCUGCUACCUUGAUUGAAGUUUUGGUAUCGUGGGUGAUGCCCAUGUCCACAAUCGUCAAAUUAUUCAUAUUAAAAACAUAUAUAAUUCAACUAAUAAAUUCUUUCAUGUCAAGCAUAUCUCAACAACUCUAUUAAAAAGAAAAGAAUAAGCAACCAAACAAUGAAUGAAAUAAAAAAUACAGAUGUCCUGACACCACAGUAUGCAACUUCUCCACUAACAAGGUUACUUUCUUUUUAUAGUUGUGCAUUUGGAUUUACCUUGUGAUUUCAUUACUUAUAUGCAUAAUAUUUGUCUCUUUUGCAACAAUUAUCCAAAAUUCAACAGAAUUUCUUCUUGUUGGGAUUUCAGAACUCUUUGGUUUGAGCUACUUCUAUUUAAUGAUGACAACUGUCAUUAUCUACUGGUGAGCAAUCUUAUAAUGUACAUUAUGUCCCUUUAUAAAAGGAAAAUUUACAAUAUUUUUGAGAUUUAAAAGAUGACCACUUCAAGAAAAGUGUGUCUUAUUAAUCAACAUACACACACACAUGCACACGCACACACACACACACACACACACACACAUAUAUAUAUAUAUAUAUACAUUUCUCUCU
ensembl:lincRNA